rnacentral:lncRNA from 1 species
UUGGAGGAUAAUCGACCGGCAGUUAUAAAGCCUGUUACACAGAUUCAAACUAAGAGCACAAAUGAUUCCCAUCUAUCUGCAACUUUAUCAAACAACUCUGUGGCAGGGGUAUAUUCUUCGUCUUCUGAUCCUGUACAUGUACCUUCUCCUGAUUCCAGACCAGCUGCUAACAUUGGAGCGAUAAAGCGUGAAGUUGGGGCAGUUGGUGUACGUCGUCUGUCUACAGAAGUUUCGUCUAAAGGUUCAUCACCACAAUCUAAUUCUUUUCCUAAUACACAUUUGGGACGUGAUGGUCCGUCAAGAGAUUCAUUUCGAUCUUCUGCUUCCAUGUCUAAAACCAGCCAUCCUAGUCAAGCUCCUGUUAAUGACUCGACUUUGAAGAGUAUUCCAGUCAAUAGGCCAUCUGUUAAUAAUCAGCAGGUUAACAAACAGCAUCAAUCUGGGGGUCAUCAAAAAGGUAAUCAUUUUCUGCCGAACUGUUUCUCCUGUGUUAAUACUGUUUAGCUGUUUAAUGUCAUUCUAGCGCGGAUGCAUGGAACACAAGUUUGUAUUUUAAGUUGCCUUGUCUUGCUAUCCAUUUGUUCCAAAACUGUUUUGGAUUUUUGAUGAUUGUAAGGUAAAACUUCGAAGGUUGUUUUAGAAAUGAUAAAUUUGUAAUAUAUUAAAAAACAGAGGGAGUAUUAUAUUACAGUAGUAUGGAUGACUUUAAUGUUAGAAAAAGAUGCACACUUUUUUUUGUUUGUUUAUAUAAAUAUAUUAAUUAAAUAUGGUGUUAAUGUUAAGGGGAGAGGGUUGGCCGUGGGGGAAGUUUUUCCUCUUAUCCCAAGCCAAUCACCCUCACGAAAGAGCUCGAUUUCUAAAAAUGAAGAAGAUGCUUAAUCACUAAGAAUUGCCUGUUGCAAAUUUUAAUGUAAUGACCCUACUGCUGCCAGUUUAUGUUUGAAGGACUCCAGGCAUUUUAAAACCUUUUUCUUUUAGUCAGGAUGAAAUAUGUAUUUAGUUUUCCUAUGAACUGAUCACAAGGUCUAUGUGUAGUUUCUUCUCAUUCUAACAAGGAGUGGAAACCUAAAUCAACCCAAAAACGAAGCACCGGUCCUGGAGUUAUUGGGACGCCAUCAAAAUCUGCUUCCCCUCCCGCCGAUGCUUUAAAGAAUUCGGAAACAGAAUCAACUCAGUUGCCAUCACAUAUAGACAUCUCUGACAAUGAGAAUGUGAUUAUAGCUCCACAUAUACGAGUCUCCGCAACCGACAGGUUUCUAGUGACUUUUGGCAGUGUGGGUACAGAGUUUGAACCUUCCAGAAACCCGGGGUUCAAAGCAGUCAAAAAUGCAGAGGACCCUUUGAUCGAUCCUUCAGCAAGGUUUGUUUCUCAAAAACCUGCAGUUUACUUUUUAGCUUGCAGUGUGAGUCUUGUUGCAAGUUCUUCAUGAUUGGGAAUAUAUAUCAAUUUUGAAGCAUUAUACAAAUAGUGGUUCUUUUACAAUGUUAUUGUCUAGUUGAUUUGCAACACCCUAAUUAAAACUGAUAAGGUGAGAUGUAUGACAGUGUAUCAGUUGCUACUCCUGAGUCUUCUGGUGAUGAAUCUUCUGGAAGUAAGCAAGAAGACUUGAGAGAUGAACAUGUUCGCAAUUCUGGUAGCAGUUCCCCUGCAUCUGCAGCAGUAUCUGAACAGCAAUUGACCAGUAGGAUAGAAUCUUCAGGUACUCAGGAUAUGGACAAGAAAGCAGAGGUUGAAUUGGUACGUGAUAACAGUCAGUCUCACACUUCAUCUCAGUCACAACAGCACCAGGAUCCUUCCCAGUUACCAAUUUUUUCUGUGAGUACCAUAAAUGAGUUUGUUACAUAUUGUAUGCUAUUCUAUUGGGUUUGCACUUUGGUGUUUAUAAUGUUUGUACUUGUUUCUAAAGUGAACUGUCUCACGAAAAAUGUAAUUUAAUGGGUUUGUCUAGUGUGUGCCCUUGGGCACAUGCUAAGCGCGAAACUUUAUAUGUUUGGGAGUUUUUGAUUGGAGUGGUGGUUGUAUAUGCAGGGGGGUCCACUAUUAUUAAGAUAUGAGAGCCAAUAAAAAUGAGUCAAACAUAUAAAAUUCCGCGCUUAGCAUGUGCCCAUGGGCACACACUAGGAAAACCGUAUAAUGUUCUAUUAACUAAUUAAUCGUAUUACCUAAUAAAAUGUGAACAAUGUUGCUAUUUAUUUUCUACAUUGGUAUCAACUUAUUGAUGCCGGACAAACAAAUGGUAGAAUAAUACAAAUAAAUUAAGUACAAGACAAUUAAAAACUAGGUUGUUUUCUUAAAGUAGAAUAGCUACCUCGAGCUAUCCAAUUUGCUGAAUAGAUGGGAAGGACAGGAGUUUUCAAAGAUAAAUCAACUGACACCUUAAUCAUACGGGCUAAAUGAAAAGUUGAAAACUAAGCCAGCUAUAAAAUGGGAACAUGGGAAAUAACUGGUUUAUAAACAGGAAAAUUCGCAAUAACUGCAACUUACCAAAAACAAUGAUCUCAGUGCUGGUAUUGGUCCUUGCUGGUCAUAAAAUCUCUGGAAGUGAUACACAGUUCUUAUAUCCAUGCAUCCUGUUCUGGUUAACUUAAUUCCAAUAAAUAUGUUUUUCAGGUUACUUGUGUGUAGGGUCAAGUAGUUUUUGCAUCUCCCUAGGCUAUGUUCACAUAUACGUAGAAUUUUUGUAAACCUGCCUUUGAUUUCCAAUCUCAGUCUGACAUACUGUUUUGUGGUUGUCUGUAUACAGUCUUAUGAUCCUCAGAGUAUGUAUGAUAUUCCGUAUUUUAGAUCAUCAGUCGAUGAAACUGCAAGGGUGCAAAGUAUGCAGUUUCCUCAGGAGGUAACACUUAGUUCACUUUUACUUUCAAAAUUCUCAUCUCGUUUAUAUCUCUUGCACAUAUGGGCAUGACAAAUCUAGCUCUUGAUUGCUUCUUCCUUUCUGUCUGUAUGGUUGCAGGCAAUAAGCUCACAUACAGUAAAUAACAUCCCAUCGUCCACGGUAGCCAUGGUGCAACAGCCGCAGUUGGCGCAGAUGUACCCGCAAGUUCAUCUUUCUCAUUAUGCUAAUAUUAUGCCAUAUCGUCAAUUCCUCUCCCCAGUUUAUGUUCCACCAAUGGCUGUGCCAGCAGGCUAUACUAGUAACCCUUCCUAUCCUCAUCCAUCGAGCGGCAACAGUUACUUACUGAUGCCCGGAGGUAGCUCCCAUCUGCCUGGAAGUGGGGUCAAGUAUGGAAUCCAGCAGUUCAAACCAGUCCCCACUGGUAGCCCAACUGGGUUUGGUAACUUCACUAAUCCAAAUGGUUAUCCUAUCAAUGCUCCUACUGGUAGUGCAACAGGACUUGAAGACUCGUCUAGGCUGAAGUACAAAGAUGGGAAUCUUUAUGUUCCAAAUCCACAGGUGAGCGUUUUUCAUUACAUUAUUUAAUUCUGUUCUUUCUGCAUCUGUUCAUAAUACAACAAAAGCAACUUGAUAAAUAGACUCGUAUUGUGAUAUCGGUGCUUGUUUAGUCUAUCUUGCUGCAAUAGGGUCAAGCUCUUUUAUAUCAAUGAAUUAUGUCAUGGUGGUAUCGUCAGUUCUUCACUAUUAUCUUAUCUCGGCGUAGUGGCCUUCACCUGAAUGGCUAGCUUCAAGCUCCAUUAUCCAUAGAACUAUGCCAUCACUAAUGAAGUAAUGAUAACAGUCUGAUGAUCCCUCCUGUUGCCUUUUAAUUCUGUUUAUUUGCUGUGCUAUCUUAGUUCAAUUUACUUCUUUUUUUGUAAGGUUAGUAUAAUUUACUUUAUUAUUUGUUUCCGAAAAAGUGUAUGAAUAGUGGAUUGUUUAUGGUGCCUGAUUACUUGAUCUUCGGCAGGCUGAGACUUCUGAGAUAUGGAUGAAUCCGAGGGACCUACCUACUAUGCAAUCAGGUUCAUACUACAAUAUGACUGGACAAACACCUCAUGCUGCAUAUUUGCCAUCCCAUACCAGUCACGCCUCGUUUAAUGCAGCAGCACAAUCUUCUCACAUUCAAUUUCCGGGCAUGUACCAUACUCCACAACCUGCUGGAAUCCCCAGUCAGCAUCAUCCUGCUGUGAGCGGUAAUGUUGGAGUUGGAUUGGCUGCAGGGGGGCCAGCAGCCCAAGUUAAUGCCUUUCAGCAACCUCAGCUGGGCCACAUGAAUUGGACAGGGAACUUCUGAAGGCCUUUUUAAUCCAUGAAAAUUUUAUUAAAAGGGAUGGAGCUGAUUAUCUGUGGAAGUCCUCUCUCCUCUCUUUGCCCCUUUUUUCCUCAAAAGAAAACUUAAUCUACAAAUCAAUACAUUGAGUUGUGUUUGGUCCGUGCUGGUUUAUAUCUGUGAUUCACGGGACGGUAUGUCAACCUUUAUAUGGUUGUAUGCAAGUUUAUUAGGAUUAGAGCAGGCUUUGGUUUAUAAGUUAGGCCCUAUGUUUUUAUAGCCCGACUGAAAAUAUUUCUUCAAAUGGUUAAAUUGUUUUGGAGGUUUAUCAGGUCAGAGCUGGCUCUUGGGGUUAUAAGUCUGCCCUCAAUUUUUCAGUAGUCUGUUUUUCUGAUAAAUAAUCUCAAAACAAUUUAGGGGACGUUUGGAUGGGGUGGCAAUGUGAAUGAGUAUCCCCAGGGGUGGAAAAAAUAGUUUCCUUGUCAAAUGAAAGGCUUUUUUAAUAUAUUCAUUCACUCUGCAAAACAAGAUACUGUCAGGUGUGUGUUUAGGCCUUUUUACAUGUACAUGCAUGCUAAAAUUGAUCCCCGUACAGCAUCUUAUAUUUGGCCAUGCUUCUCUAGACAUUGCCUAGGCACAAAGGCUAUAUGUGGGUGAGCUUUCGGCUUGCCUUAAUUUUAAUUAGGUUGGCGUUUCUAAUUGGAUUCUUGGUGUAUAUAUUAGGCAACUGAAAACAUAGAGAACUGAGAGAUUUUUUUUUAAGGAUUUUAGUUAGUAAUAUAGUCAUUGGAUUGAUUAGUAGUCUGUUUUACAUAUUCAAGGGUGCAUUAUUGUAACUCCAUUGUAAUUGAAACGGGCAAUAAAUAUCGUAAUUGUUCAAACCACCACAAACAAUCUGCAAUGAGUUGUCACGAUAGAUUUGCAAUCAAUAGUCAAGGUAGAUUGAGAGAAUUGCCUUGCAAAUUUGUGUGUGGUGAUUUGUUGUCUUGUAGUUGUAGCCGACUUAUGAGUAAGAUUUGUAGCAACCUCGUGAUAUAUGUUAAUACAAUAUAUUUUCCAAACUUGUCGAAGUCAUUAAGUCAGCGGUUACUAUUCUAGAUGAAUUUAACCAACAUUACACAAAAUGAAUUAAAUUGAGAAUAUGGUAGUGACGUAUUCAACUCUCUUCUAUGUCACUUUGAGACUAGUAGUCAUAUGGUGAAAAAUAAAGUUCAAAGACUUGUGGAGUUGCAGAAUUAUUUCUUAUUCAGUUGAAUUGCAGAAGAGUCUUGUUUACUGGGAUUAUAUAUAAUCAACACCUGAAGCAUAACUAACCGACAUCCUAGGAUUAUAUAUAAUUAACACCUAAAGCAUAACUAAUUGGGAAUUGGCUGAUCAUGUUAUCAGAUAAAGGCAACAUGAAAUUUGAUAGCUUGUGAAUUAGAUGAGUGCACAAAGCGUCAAUAGGUAUGAGUGAAUAAAAAACUGAUUAACCCGCCAAACCAACCCAACCCGUCUUAUUUAAGACCGAACAAACCGAAUUGUUCAUAAUCGAAAAAUAGUUGAUUUCGAUUUUUAUUAACUUAGAAUAGAUUCGGUUGGGUAAGGAUUUUUAAAUCAUUAGACCUCAUCCAACCCAACCCAACCCGUUUAUAUUAGUCCACUUAUAUGUUAAUUCAGUCUAGCAUUUGUUUAUGAUAGUUUAUAUAGUAAGUUAUCAGUCUUACAACUGGAGUUUCAAUAAGUAAACAACUAAAAUUUAAAAUAGCUCAGUAUAUGAACGUAACAUAUGUGAACAUUUAGUUUAGUUCUUAGGUUGCCCUGUGCUGGCAGUGUCCCAAGAAUUCCUCCUUUAUAUGUCAGCUAAUUUAGCUCUAGCAAGAGCAAUAUUAUAAUAUAGAUUACCUCUCAAUUUAUUAAGACAAAUGAACUCCUUUACAAGCUUCAAUUAAUUUGCAUGACAGUCAUUGGGUGACCAGUCACUGGUGUGUUCCAAGCUUUAGUCCCGGUGCUAGAUUAAAAAAUUAAAAAGGUUUUCCAAAUUUCACAAGAUCAACAGGAACAUUGAGAAUAAUUGAAUUGUGGUCCAUUAUUCGUCUAUUUUUUACCAUAAACCUUUGAUUCUGUAUGUGUAACCAACCAAUCUGCAUUACCUAUAAAUCUAUCUAAUAUUUUCAUAAUAUUACUCACAGGUUUAAGAUUAGAUCAAGUAAAAGAGCUACUGACAGUUAUGAUGCAUGCAGACUAAAAUCAACGAUACAUUCUUAUUUUAAACUCGAUAAACCGGACCCUACAUGACCUAACCUGACGUACGAAUAAUGGGGUUGAGUUGGAAAUAUUUUUCAGGGUUAACAGGUUAAAUUUUUUAUAAACCGAUUAUAUCGAGCUGGUUUAAUUUUGCCACUAACCUGGCCAACCCAACCCGUGUUCACUCCUAUCAACACGUACGAAGUCGUGAAAUUAAGCAAGUCAAAUCAAGACAUCUGUUCCAAGUUAAGUCUUGAGAACAUCUCUAAGGAUCAUCUUCUCAUAGCUUUGCCAAGUCCACUGUUCCACUUCUUAAAGUCAAAACUUUUAACUAUAAUCAAUCUGGGAGUGACUUACAUGUGAUUAUAGGUCUGUAUGUAUGUAUGUAUGUAUGUGUGUGUGUGUGUGUGUAUGCAUAUAAAUAUACACACGCGCGCACAGAGAGAGAGACAUAGAAACACACACACACACAUAUAAUAUAGAGAGAGUCUUGUUUUGUCUCGUAUUUGUGUUUGAAGUGGUGAGGUUUUUCAAUGAAAUUUCCUUAUCACGGAUUCUCUAACAUUAAAAAUGCAUUUAUAUCUCUUCAUGUAGUUUGAAACUUAACCAGUCUGUUUUUCUAGAUAGUCAUACAGCUGAAAACCAACAAUAUUUAUCCUGGACUAUAAACCCAAAUUCGGAAAACAUCCCAACUUUCACCUUAGAGAUAGUCAAAACGGAGAAACUCUACUUGUUACAGUAAAUAAGAAUGUAACGGAUAGUGUACAUACAAUCUACCUCUAAAGAAGAAAUGAUGUUUAUAAAUUUGAGAUAUUUGCUGUUCAUCUGCAUUCUCUCAUAAGAAUCAGAGAUGGAAAAAGCAAUAAUACCGUCUCUGAAAUCAUUCUCUCAACAAGUCGAGUUCAUUGAAAUUUGCUCAUCAACAACUAGAGCAUCUUGUGUUGAGUCAAACACAUCAUCAGUAUAUCACUCUAAUGAAUAGUCUAAACAAAAAAUAUGUUAUGAAUACUAUAUAAGAGAGUGCAUGGUGAGGUUAAUGAUUUUGUUUCAGAAGCAAUUAUUUUUAAAAAAAUUUGAAAUAUAAGUAUAUAUUACGUGCAAUUAGAUACUGUUAUAUCCGAAAUUUACAGAUACUACGUGAAAUAAUUAAUUAGAAAAUCAUGGGGCUAAUGUUAUGACGUCAAGUUUUGUACAUGGCCUGACACCUGCAGCAUGACGAAGACGACGUGAUGAAAAGACAUGACAAGGACUGCGGGAAGCAAGGAUGCUUGGGGCACGUGAGUGACAUGUUGUGAGGAAUCAGUCGUUGGCUAGCAUAAAUAUAGGGAUAAGUACAAGCUUCGGUUGUAACAGAAGUGAGAGACUUUGAAGGGUACGUGGAGAAAGUUUAGGCAGUAUAACGGCAACAAUAAUAUUCAAAGCUGAAGACUUGUGUAUAAAUAGGGCUGAGAUAUAUCAAAGUAGAGGAUCAGAUGAUUAGCAUCCAACACUUACAGUAUACAUUGUAACCUACUUUUCAACUUAGUGAAUUAUCUUUCUGGCUGGGCCGAGCCCACCCGCGGUUUUUACCUCACAAGGGUUUUCCGCGUCACCAAUCUUUCGUCUUAUUUACUUUAUCGCACUUUAUUUUGAUUCGCUUAUAUCGUUAUAUUAGCUUGGCAUUUAACUCACAAAAUCUGGUUAAAACAAUUGGCGCCGUCUGUGGGAAACUUGUCAAGCAUUCAACAUGGCAACGGGAGACCAGCAACACAGCGAAUCAGCGAGUCAGAAUGACAACCCUACGAUACGGCAAAUGGCGGAGACAAUCAAGAAACUACAAGCUGACGUGAAUGCCCAACAGGAAGCAUGGAGAACUGAGAGGGAUACGCUCCACUCCCAAACCCAGGCUCUACAAAGAGAGCUCACGACAGUUAAAUCCAAAUCAAACCCCAUAUCGAAGGGAAGCCUGAAAAGCGUGGCCAGACGGUUGAACAUGGACGAUGAUGGAGAGGAGGAGUACGACGAGAAGAUCGAGGUGGAGAACCCUGAAGAGGGGAAUCCAGAAAUCAACGACGAGGACCACGACGAAAGGGGUGACAAGGGUCAUGACAGUGGACAAGGACGAAACGAGGGGAACAAAAAGAAGAAAAAGACACGUAGAUCUUCCAAAUCACGUAGUCAUGCAACGGAGGCAAUGAAGAAAGAACUACAUGAUCUAAAGGAGACGUACACAGACGAGAACAAUUCAUAUUCGUCUCAUCACGUCUAAACGGGAACCAGUAAAUCACAUGUGACGCAACACGACCAACAAGACAUGGGUGACAUCUACACGACAAAAAAAACACCACAGAGGACAUGACGUGACACCAAAGAGAGAGACCGCCAUAAUUGAUUUUUUGACAGAUGAAUGGACAGCUUCGCUUGGGAACACGACAACACGAUGGGUAGCAGCCUCGACUUGAACAUACACAAGUUAAAUGAUGACAAGUCAAGCCACAUACAUGUCAAAUGCAAAUCAAACAGAAUUAAGAUAAUCAAUCGCAAAAGAGACAACUAAUUCAAAAAAGGACAUGAUACAUGAAGUCGAGUAUCAAGAAUGACUAGCAAACAUGGUGACAGUAUAAAAAUAACACCACGACAGUUGGACAUAAAGUCUUGACAUGAUGAUCGACGUGACAGCUAGACAUGAACUCUAGUAACAUAACAGAUCAUGUCAAAUACAUUAUCACCUAUGAGCCACAAACAACGAUUGACUCACAAAUUUUGUUAAUUUUGUGGCUAAUUUCAAUCCAAGUCUUCUAUCUCAACAGGACAUGACGACUUAUCCUAAAAUCGCCACAAGGGGACAAUAUAGCAUACCCAAAGCACGAUCGACAUCACUGGUUCAACAUGAUGUGAAGUAAAAAGACAUGACAUGACCACGAAGGAUAAACAUAGACGAAAGAAUCAAAAAUGGACUAGUUGUUGAGACAAGUCGAAGAAACUUGAUUAAUGUCAACUCGACGACAUGGGACACGAAGGUCAACACUAUGACAGAACAUGAAUCAUUGACGCCUCUAGAGGUGUCCGACGUCUCCCAUCUGAUUCAACAAUACAUUACAAAUUACAAGUCCUCAGGGGCUCGAACAUGCUACUUUUAAAACUUUAUCACAUGUAAGUGAACUCAUCCUCUUUAUUCUCUUAGCCUUAGCAAUAUGAUAAUAAGUUGAUUACGAUCUUUACUUGGUCUUAUGCCAUUUAGAUGAUAUUUCAUGCUUCGUGUAAAUGUUUGUUUGAAUGAUUCAUGAUAUAAGCAUUAUGAUUCACAUGCUUGUUUCCUAUAUGACUUGCUACUCUACUUGAUUUGAUAUGUGUGUUGAAAUAUGUUAUGCAAGUUGUUGCAAAUAGUCUUCAUGUCUAACUGCAUAAAGUUGACAUCUUCAUCAUGAUAUUUAUUGUGACAUGAUAUUGCAUGAGUAUAUUUUAGAUACAUAUUAAUAGACAAGGAGGGCUGAUCACCCAUCCUACUACGGUUGAUCAUUAUCGAAUGAUGGUGACGACAACACUACACAUUACACAAAUAACUUACGACGCUACGAAUAAUGAUGCAUUUCAACAUUAUGUAUAUAAACAUUACAUAAUCACAAUUACAAUUACGAGCUAAGUUUCAAGAGGGAAAGGCCUUUUAACUAGCCUACGAAUGCAUGCAUCGACGUUUGAAAAUAAACAAAUUUGUCGAAUACAUCAACGAUUGAAAAUUAUAUAUAUUUGUCGAAUAGGGCUAAUGUUAUGACGUCAAGUUUUGUACAUGGCCUGACACCUGCAGCAUGACGAAGACGACGUGAUGAAAAGACAUGACAAGGACUGCGGGAAGCAAGGAUGCUUGGGGCACGUGAGUGACAUGUUGUGAGGAAUCAGUCGUUGGCUAGCAUAAAUAUAGGGAUAAGUACAAGCUUCGGUUGUAACAGAAGUGAGAGACUUUGAAGGGUACGUGGAGAAAGUUUAGGCAGUAUAACGGCAACAAUAAUAUUCAAAGCUGAAGACUUGUGUAUAAAUAGGGCUGAGAUAUAUCAAAGUAGAGGAUCAGAUGAUUAGCAUCCAACACUUACAGUAUACAUUGUAACCUACUUUUCAACUUAGUGAAUUAUCUUUCUGGCUGGGCCGAGCCCACCCGCGGUUUUUACCUCACAAGGGUUUUCCGCGUCACCAAUCUUUCGUCUUAUUUACUUUAUCGCACUUUAUUUUGAUUCGCUUAUAUCGUUAUAUUAGCUUGGCAUUUAACUCACAAAAUCUGGUUAAAACAAUUGGCGCCGUCUGUGGGAAACUUGUCAAGCAUUCAACAUGGCAACGGGAGACCAGCAACACAGCGAAUCAGCGAGUCAGAAUGACAACCCUACGAUACGGCAAAUGGCGGAGACAAUCAAGAAACUACAAGCUGACGUGAAUGCCCAACAGGAAGCAUGGAGAACUGAGAGGGAUACGCUCCACUCCCAAACCCAGGCUCUACAAAGAGAGCUCACGACAGUUAAAUCCAAAUCAAACCCCAUAUCGAAGGGAAGCCUGAAAAGCGUGGCCAGACGGUUGAACAUGGACGAUGAUGGAGAGGAGGAGUACGACGAGAAGAUCGAGGUGGAGAACCCUGAAGAGGGGAAUCCAGAAAUCAACGACGAGGACCACGACGAAAGGGGUGACAAGGGUCAUGACAGUGGACAAGGACGAAACGAGGGGAACAAAAAGAAGAAAAAGACACGUAGAUCUUCCAAAUCACGUAGUCAUGCAACGGAGGCAAUGAAGAAAGAACUACAUGAUCUAAAGGAGACGUACACAGACGAGAACAAUUCAUAUUCGUCUCAUCACGUCUAAACGGGAACCAGUAAAUCACAUGUGACGCAACACGACCAACAAGACAUGGGUGACAUCUACACGACAAAAAAAACACCACAGAGGACAUGACGUGACACCAAAGAGAGAGACCGCCAUAAUUGAUUUUUUGACAGAUGAAUGGACAGCUUCGCUUGGGAACACGACAACACGAUGGGUAGCAGCCUCGACUUGAACAUACACAAGUUAAAUGAUGACAAGUCAAGCCACAUACAUGUCAAAUGCAAAUCAAACAGAAUUAAGAUAAUCAAUCGCAAAAGAGACAACUAAUUCAAAAAAGGACAUGAUACAUGAAGUCGAGUAUCAAGAAUGACUAGCAAACAUGGUGACAGUAUAAAAAUAACACCACGACAGUUGGACAUAAAGUCUUGACAUGAUGAUCGACGUGACAGCUAGACAUGAACUCUAGUAACAUAACAGAUCAUGUCAAAUACAUUAUCACCUAUGAGCCACAAACAACGAUUGACUCACAAAUUUUGUUAAUUUUGUGGCUAAUUUCAAUCCAAGUCUUCUAUCUCAACAGGACAUGACGACUUAUCCUAAAAUCGCCACAAGGGGACAAUAUAGCAUACCCAAAGCACGAUCGACAUCACUGGUUCAACAUGAUGUGAAGUAAAAAGACAUGACAUGACCACGAAGGAUAAACAUAGACGAAAGAAUCAAAAAUGGACUAGUUGUUGAGACAAGUCGAAGAAACUUGAUUAAUGUCAACUCGACGACAUGGGACACGAAGGUCAACACUAUGACAGAACAUGAAUCAUUGACGCCUCUAGAGGUGUCCGACGUCUCCCAUCUGAUUCAACAAUACAUUACAAAUUACAAGUCCUCAGGGGCUCGAACAUGCUACUUUUAAAACUUUAUCACAUGUAAGUGAACUCAUCCUCUUUAUUCUCUUAGCCUUAGCAAUAUGAUAAUAAGUUGAUUACGAUCUUUACUUGGUCUUAUGCCAUUUAGAUGAUAUUUCAUGCUUCGUGUAAAUGUUUGUUUGAAUGAUUCAUGAUAUAAGCAUUAUGAUUCACAUGCUUGUUUCCUAUAUGACUUGCUACUCUACUUGAUUUGAUAUGUGUGUUGAAAUAUGUUAUGCAAGUUGUUGCAAAUAGUCUUCAUGUCUAACUGCAUAAAGUUGACAUCUUCAUCAUGAUAUUUAUUGUGACAUGAUAUUGCAUGAGUAUAUUUUAGAUACAUAUUAAUAGACAAGGAGGGCUGAUCACCCAUCCUACUACGGUUGAUCAUUAUCGAAUGAUGGUGACGACAACACUACACAUUACACAAAUAACUUACGACGCUACGAAUAAUGAUGCAUUUCAACAUUAUGUAUAUAAACAUUACAUAAUCACAAUUACAAUUACGAGCUAAGUUUCAAGAGGGAAAGGCCUUUUAACUAGCCUACGAAUGCAUGCAUCGACGUUUGAAAAUAAACAGAUUUGUCGAAUACGACAACGUUUGAAAAUUAUAUAUUUGUCGAAUACAUAUACUACAUGCAUCAACGUCUGAAAAUUAUAUAUUCAUCGAAUAUAUAUAUUUGUUGAAUACAUAUACUACGUGCAUCAACAUUAUAUUUGUCGACUACAAUUACGCGUAUUACAAGUUCAAAUACAUCAACGUAUUUAACAUACAUGUCGAAGAAAACUCCACAAAAUCACGCAAGUCACGACCCUUGGUCGAAUACAUUACACAUGAAUUACAACCUACAUUUUUACAUGUCAUCACUUACGCGUGUCAUGACAGAUUGCAUUGACUACAUGUCACACAUUACAAUCACAAGUGACAUAUACGGUUACAAACAACAUAUCACGUUAUGAUGACUAUUUACGCAUCAUUGUCUAUAAGUUACAUAUCAUGGACNGCUGGGCCGAGCCNCCGAAGACAUACUACAAAACACUUUACGUGUUAGUACAUUACAUUACAAUCACUCCAAAUUAAAAGGGUCGAAUGAACCAAUUUCAAGCCAUAGACGCAUAGGAUUAUGAUGUCGACAAUGACAAAUAUGUGACACCUUGCACAUGUCAGAAAUAUCUAUAAGGGACUUUACAAAUAUAAUGCAAAGCAACGUCACAACUUGACAUGUUAAUACUAUAGGGUUGUCCGACGGGUUGACUGGGGCUGUCCGAUGGAUAGGCUGGGGCUGUCCGACGGGUAGGCUGAGCUGAAAAAACACGUCGCUCAACACACAUAAGUGAUGUCUAUGGAACUGAAGCUGUCUUGACGCCAUAAGUCAUGACAUCGACGGCAAGAUACGAGUUGUAAACAUAUGACGAGAGGAUGCACUAGCACAUGACAUUGACGUUAUGGAUGGACUAAGGGAAAUAACAAAGUACGGCUGGAGUCGUACCGACAAAAGGUAGAAAACGCCUACAACAAACAUGUUCAUGUCAAGACAUUUAACGUUGGCGACUUGGUCUUGCGGAGGGUAUUUCAGAAUACUAUGGACAUGAAGGCCGACAAAUUUGCUGACACAUGGGAAAGGUCCUACCUUGUUGACGCUAUAGUUGGGCGCGGAGAAUAUCAGUUGUCAACCUUAUAUGGAAUUCAGAUACACAUGCUAACGUCAAACAAGGAAACGCUUCGUAUGAUUUGGGGAGAUUUUAUUAAUUAAUUAAAUUAAUAAAAUCUGGGGCUAUUGUUAUAUCCGAAAUUUACAGAUACUACGUGAAAUAAUUAAUCAGAAAAUCAUGGGGCUAAUGUAAUGACGUCAAGUUUUGUACAUGGCCUGACACCUGCAGCAUGACGAAGACGACGUGAUGAAAAGACAUGACAAGGACUGCGGGAAGCAAGGAUGCUUGGGGCACGUGAGUGACAUGCUGUGAGGAAUCAGUCGUUGGCUAGCAUAAAUAUAGGGAUAAGUACAAGCUUCGGUUGUAACAGAAGUGAGAGACUUUGAAGGGUACGUGGAGAAAGUUUAGGCAGUAUAACGGCAACAAUAAUAUUCAAAGCUGAAGACUUGUGUAUAAAUAGGGCUGAGAUAUAUCAAAGUAGAGGAUCAGAUGAUUAACAUCCAACACUUACAGUAUACAUUGUAACCUACUUUUCAACUUAGUGAAUUAUCUUUCGAGCUGGGCCGAGCCCACCCGCGGUUUUUACCUCACAAGGGUUUUCCGCGUCACCAAUCUUUCGUCUUAUUUACUUUAUCGCACUUUAUUUUGAUUCGCUUAUAUCGUUAUAUUAGCUUGGCAUUUAACUCACAAAAUCUGGUUAAAACAGAUACCAAUUAUUGUUAUAAAAAUAAAUAUAUGAUAAAUAUGAAAAAGAUAUUAAAAAAGUAGUUGAUUAUAUUAAUCGGAAUAUAAUGAUAGUUAAAAUAAUUAGAAAAUUUUAAGCAAAAUUAUCGUGUACAAAGCAGGUACGCCUGAUUUAUGUAAAGUGAAAAAAAGAGAAAAAAAUAAGAUGAGAAGAAAGAUCCGACCCGAAUAACAGUGAAUGGGCUGGUCUAGUGAGCAUCAGGAGGUAAUUUGGUUUUCAAAACCCUUGUUUGCGUCCCAUAACUCUUUUUGAGCCGUUCUCAACUAUUAUAUAUAAACACACACAAUCACUCAAAACCCAUUUGAAAUCGAAUGCAACUCGCUCUUCUAUUGGCUCUGUUAAACCCUGUUUUGAUAUUGGAUUACUAUCCCAACUGGGUUGUUUUCAAGUAUCUCAAAGAUGGUGUCUUCUUCCUCAACUUCAAGAAUUGAUGGGGGCCCUCAAAUACUGUCUGCUGGCGUGAGAAAAACAAUCCAAUCCAUAAAAGAAAUCGUGGGUAAUCACUCUGAUGCUGAAAUUUAUUCCACCCUUAAAGAGACUAAUAUGGAUCCUAAUGAAACUGCCCAGAAAUUGCUCAAUCAAGGUCCCCUUUUUUUUCUUGGUUUGUUCACUGUUUUCUUGAAUCAGUUUUUAUUUUUAGUUUAGUUGCAUGCUAAUUUGGUGUUUUUUUUGGGGUUUUAUAGCCUUGGUCACUUGUUUCGUGUGUCCUUAAAGCUUUUGUUUUUAUUGGUGUUUUAACGAUUAUUUUGUAGAUUUUUGGUCUGUGUAUAUGCUUAGCAUAUGAAAAAUUAUUUACGAAAGUGAAAAUGAUAACCUGUUUUGAUUGCAUUUGUUAAUAUCGAGACAUUUAAAUGACCUUUAUUAUAAAGUGUAGAAGGACUGUUUUAUUUAGCAUUCUUCCUAGUAUGAAGUUUUUUAUAUAUAAACAUUUAUAGGACAAAUUAGAAUAAGGGAUGGAUAAUCAGUAAGUUUGGCUUGUUCAAGAAUGCGAUAUGUCAAUGCUUAAAUUUUCUAAAGUUUUGAUGCAAGAUUAGUAUUCAGUGGCUUAAUAAUCUUUUCGAGUGAGGAUACUGAGGAUUGUCAUAAAUUAGUUUCCACUUUAUGGAUUAAUUAUGAAAGCAUGAAAAUGCAGAGAUUGGGGGUGGGGGAGAUAUGACAUAUCAAAACAUUAUUAACAUAUGCAUGAUGUUGUAUGUGGCAACUGGCAAUAGUUUAAGAAUAGGAGUUCUGUUCAAAUUAAAUUCCGUCGUCCAAGACAUCACUUCUGCAUGCAUGGUUGUUAGAACUUAAAACUGAGUUGAUGGCGGUAGAAGCAGGACCUGCUCAUGAAUCACCACAAUCCCCCAAGUGCGUAGUUUAUGGGGCAGGUAAAGACUUAAGAAGGAUUCUAUUAGUUAUCAAGAUUCCCAAAUGAGUAUAUCCAAAUUUUAAAAUAUCUUUGUAUGUUAUAUAGAUUUUGGAUUACACAUACAGAUGAAACUGCCCAGAAAUUGCUCAAUCAAGGUCCCCCCUUUUUUUUCUUGGUUUGUUUGUUUACUGUUUUCUUGAAUUGUUUUUUUUUUUUUUUUAGUUUCGUUGCAUGCUAAUUUGGUGCUUUUGUUGGGGUUUUAUAUUUUUUGGUCACUCGUUUCAUCUGUCUUCAAAGCUUUUUUUUUAUUGGUGUUAUAAUGAUUUUUUUGUAGAUUCUGGGUCUGUGUAUAUGCUUAUCAUAUGAAAAAAUUAUUAAUGAAAAUGAUAAUCUGUUUUAAUUGCAUUUGUUAAUUUCGAGACAUUUAAAUAAGCUGCUCAUGAAUCACCACAAUCCCCAAGUGCGUAGUUUAUGGGGGCAGGUAAAGACUUAAGAAGGAUUCUAUUAGUUAUCAAGAUUCCCAAUAUGAAUAUAUCAAAAUUUUAAAAUAUCUUUGUAUGUUACAUUGAUUUUGGAUUACAGUAUUACACAUACACUUUUAAAUAAUAAUGUAUACUCCCUCUAUCCCGGUGAGUAGUAUACAUUUUGGACAGAGAGCUCGGUACGCAGUAUAAGGCUCUUAAAAAAUUUAGUUUUAUGAAUUUUUUUAAAAAAAUAUCUUCAAAAUAAAAAUUUAGUGUUUACAUUUUUAUUCAGAAACAAAAAUUUUAAAAUAAGUUACAGAAAUCUAUUUCAUAGGAACGUUAAAAUGCUUGUCAAGCAAUGCAAAAAAAACUAUUUAGAAUUGAGUGGGACGGAGGGAGUAAUCAUUUACAACUAACUUAGUUACUAUCUGCUCCAGCCGGAUGUAUUUAUGAGAUGGGGGUCUCGUUUUGAAUAUUCGCUCCAAAUGCUAGCAAAGAUGGCAAAUCAAUGAUUGAAAACUUGAAUAUUGUUGUAUAGAGAAUUGGUCUUUAUCAAUUUUUAACAAAUGGUGUGUGGCUAUUUAUAUCAUAAAAUCAUAUUAAAAGUAACCAUUCUUCUUUCUUUGCUAAUUGAACACACACUACUCAUAUUUGCCUUUGACAAGGGUUGAGCCCUAAAUUUCCUGUAAUUGGGUAAAGGGAAGUACCCUUAACUAGAACCCUUUGGUAAUACUAGCUAUAAUUCAUUUCUAUUGAUUUCCGUACAUAUUAAUAUCGAGAGAUUUUUGUGGCUAGUUAGAUUGUUCCUUAUCAGUUGCAUUAUCAGAUUACUUCUGAUGAUUAUUCAAUUUGGAUUGUGAAAGUUAAUGAUUUAUAUUUGCUCUGUUUUCUUCUGUUUGAAUGUCAUUUUCUGUGGUUAUAUACAUCUGAUAUGGAUGCAAGAAUUAUUUGGACUGUUUCUGCUCAAUUUUUUUCAGGUUAUAUGGUAUUUUUACUUGAUAAUUAUUUUGUUACAGGAUGUAAUGUGGAAAAAUUUGUACAUUGUAGCACGAUACCUUUUUCAUUGCUUUUAUGUUAUCAUUUCGUCUGUUUUUGAUUGUCCCUUUGCGUUUUCUCAUAUUCAGAUCCAUUUCACGAGGUCAAAAGAAAAAGAGACAAGAGGAAAGAGGUAUCACUUUUUACUGAAUUGUAUGACAUGUUCUUCUUAAUUGAAAAUUAGUUUUUUAUCUUAUGUUUAUUGUUUGUCAUGCAUUCUUGAUAUUGGCAUCCCGGUGGUAGAAAAAUAUCUAAUAUUGCACUAGCCAUCAUAAAACUGUACCAUGAUUACUAUCUUAUUUUAAAAAGCUGAUAAUAAUACUUAGAUGGGUUUUCCUUACUUUAAGAUAUGGUUCAUACAAAGUGUUUGUGUCAGGUUACAAUGAACGUGGGGCAUACUGCAUCACAACAGAAAAAGCACAGUGAAUCAUUAAAUCAAGGGAGCAAACACACUGCACAUUCUGAUCACAGUGUCAGUGGCAAAGGAAUUAUCCGGAAUUCUUUGCCGGGUAAAAAACCUUUACUCUUAUAUUAGAUGUUCAGAUUUCUUUGUGUUCCAGCUUUGCUGAUGUAAUGUUAAAGAUGUAGUUCAUUUGGAAAAUGUAUCGUGUAUAUUGAAAUAGCAUUGCUUAGUAGGCGUUUGGAUCAUCGAUUGGAAUGAGAAUGAAGGGUAUGAAUAUGGUGAUAAAUGUGAACAGAAAUUAUAUAAAAUCCCAGGGAAUGAUUAACCUACCUAAUGGGGAUGGCUGAAUGAGGUUCCCAUUCCAAGCAACCAAAUUGCUUACCCAAACACUAACGUACAGGAUUGAGGUUCUGAUUCCUGCUAUACGGGCUCAUUAACUAUGAAUAAACCACUUAGGAUAUGUGUAUGGAUACCAAAUUGUUAGACUCCAUAGAUAUUAAGUUAUUCUGUAUACGGAUACUAAGUUGUCAUACUUCUGCUUUAGUCUAGUUCACUUAAUUACUUCUGCUCUAGUCUAGUUAUGUUAAUUGGCAAGAACUUUUUUCUGUUGGUUCAAACACUUUAUGUCCCGACCUACCUGUAUAUGGCUCUUGUGUUUUUUAAUUGUCUUAUUGAUCUUCAGUUCUCUUUUACCUAUUCAUGCAUGCUUACUUUCAUACUCUGUCACGAAUUAAAGGUUCCUGAAGUGAUUUUCUGUAACUUUUUGGUAACUUUCUGUGUUUAGAGACUAGAAGUAACAGAAUAACUAGAGAAACAGAUAGAAUCAAGAGAGGAACAGAGAAACUAGAUGAGAUUCAGAGCGCGAUUCCAGAAAAAAGAGAAAGAAAAGCAUAGAACAGAGAAUAAGACAUAGAAACGCUAGAGAGAGAUGAAGUAACAGAUUCUGUUAUAUAGAGAGAAGGAAGUGAUGGGAAUGUACGUAUCAUAUAUUCAUCAUAAUCUAAAAUGGAAACAUUAUGUCAGGAAUGGCUUAUCUUAGUUGCAGUUCUUGCUAAUAGUAGUAGAGUCUUACUAUAUACUUAUCAGUAUCAACACAGUAGUAUACUUUAGUAAUUAUAGUUGUGCCACUUCAUUACUAGAAGUUAGUUUGCCUAUAAAUACUUGAUAGGCUUUGUAUUUCCAGUUAUGUUGAAUAUAUGAAAUGGAAUGAUUUCCACCAAUCCACUUUCUCUCUCUGUAACUGAUUCUCAGUUUCUCUGUAGGGUUGCUAACCCCAUUUUAUCUCUCUGCUCAAUCUCUGUCGUUUCUGUCUUUUCUGUCUCUAUCUCUCUCAUGUCUCUCUGAAUUCUCUCUAACUGACUCUAUUUGAGCUGUUAUCUCUACUUUACUUGUUCCUGCCUUUUAUCAACAUAAAACAUUGAAAAUAGUCUCAAACAGCUCAGGAUUCCCCCAAUUCCUGACACAUUACAAGGGUAUUUAUAGUAGUCUGCUACUUGCCCCACUUAACUAACUAAAGAAAGGGCAAAGUACCCCUCUUACUAUACCCUACCUAUACAGUAGAUUAAAACUGUCUUUCCUAUCAGCUCUGCUCAUUUAGUAGUACUCUAUGUUGAAUUUCAUUCUUCUGUUGUGUAACUCUUGGUAUAUUUAUCUGAGAUUCUUCAUUAGGUCGUUUAUAAUAUAGGCUAUUAACAUUUUUAUUAUUUGUUAAUUGUUGUUUUCUUAUGAUAGAUGCAAAGGCUAGCAGAGAGUUCCGUGUUGUGAGGGACAAUAGGACUAAUCAUAAGCCAAGCAGCAAGAUAAAGCCUCCCUUGCAAAGCCAAAUAUCUUCAAAUGAACUAGAAGUCCCGAAGUUUGCCAAUAAGAGGUACUGUAUAUGUCUCGUGGCUUUUUUUUUUCCCUUUACAAAAAUUUACCAUUCUAGGAAUGUAUUGAUCGGCUGGUUUAGUUUUUUUCUUUGGUUAAAUCUCCUACAUUUACUUGGGGCCUGCACGCUUGAAGUUCCCUGAAUGAACCUAAGGAUUUCCUGGAGUUCUACAUUUCCUCGUCUGUUUGUGUAUAAAUAUGUUAUUUAUUUCCCUUCUCAGCAGCUUGAACGUGACUUCUAAUGAGCAGAAACAGACAGUUGUGCGUCAUCUAACUAAAUCUUCAAAUGGAACGACUGAGACACAGCCUAGGCAGCCAAGGGUUGUUCAGAUUAAUAAUAAGAAAGAAUCAUUGGAGGAUAAUCGAUCCGCAGUUAUAAAGCCUGUUACACAGAUUCAAACUAAGAGCACAAAUGAUUCCCAUCUAUCUGCAACUUUAUCUAACAACUCUGUGGCAGGGGUAUACUCUUCAUCUUCUGAUCCUGUACAUGUACCUUCUCCUGAUUCCAGACCAGCUGCUAACAUUGGAGCAAUUAAGCGUGAAGUUGGGGCUGUUGGUGUACGUCGUCUGUCUACAGAAGUUUCUCCCAAAGGUUCAUCACCACAAUCUAAUUCUUUUCC